rnacentral:tRNA from 1 species
GCCACGAUAGCUCAGGUGGUAGAGCAGCGGCGUGUCUAGCCGAAGGUCGUGGGUUCGAAUCCCUCUCGUGCCA